rnacentral:rRNA from 1 species
CAGCCGCCGCGGUAAUACGUAGGUGGCAAGCGUUGUCCGGAAUUAUUGGGCGUAAAGGGCUCGCAGGCGGUUUCUUAAGUCUGAUGUGAAAGCCCCCGGCUCAACCGGGGAGGGUCAUUGGAAACUGGGAAACUUGAGUGCGGAAGAGGAGAGUGGAAUUCCACGUGUAGCGGUGAAAUGCGUAGAGAUGUGGAGGAACACCAGUGGCGAAGGCGACUCUCUGGUCUGUAACUGACGCUGAGGAGCGAAAGCGUGGGGAGCGAACAGGAUUAGAUACCCCGGUAGUCCCUGUCUCUUAUAC